rnacentral:antisense_RNA from 1 species
UUAGGCGGAGUCUCACCCUGUCGCCCAGGCUGGACCAGGAGGCAGGAGCCCCAUGCAGUCCUGUGCUGAUGAAGACCCAUUUUUUCUAGGAGAUUUACACUUUCAUAUGUAUCCCCUGUGACCAGCCCACACACCUGGCUGAGAGAUGGCUCUGCAGGGAGGGAGGCAGCAAGGAGGGGAGGGGAGAGGAGGGAAGAGGAGGAGAGGAAAGAUAUCUUGGGAGGCCAAGGAAAGAAAAGUGAAGAAACCACCUAAGAGGGCAAAUGCAGGGCUCAGUGGGAGGGGCCCAAAGAUGUCCUGAGGAGCCCCGGUGGCAUCUGCCUUGACACCAGGCCCACUGCAGACAGUCGCAAUUUCAUCCAUCCAUUCAUCUAUCAGAUAUUGACUGAGGGCCUACUAGGUACCAGGCCCUGAGGAUACAGCCUUGAACAAAGCAGAUAACAGUCCCUG